GGCAGAUCGCGGAGUUUACAUCGGCGUACGGGACUCGGAGGGGACCUGGCUGCAGAUUCCCGGCCCGGCCCUGCCUCAGUUUCCCUGUCCGACUGCCCACGGUCUGUCACAGGACGACCUACUUCAGUUUCCCCGCCAGCCUCGACUCCUCCCUCGGACCUCGCACACGCAGCCCUGCCCGGCCCCCUCGCCCGAGCUGCAGAACUCACCGUCCAGCGACACGAACUGGCCGACCGCCGACGAGCCGCCGCCGCUGUUCUCCACGAACUGCACCUCGGACACGAUGAUGUUGUCCUCGAGCACCGAGCCGCAGCCCGUGCACACCGCAUCGCCGCGCGCCGCAUCCAACUCGAUGUCCGUGCCGCCGCAGCCGCGGCAGACGCGGCCCGUCAUGGUGGAGCCGCGGGGCCCCACCGGCCCCCCAGCCGCUCAGCAGUCCGCUCUCCGCCCGCGGCCCUCAGCCCGCAAGGCCCGUCGCGCCGCCUCCGUCUGCGCCGCACUCUCGCGAGGCCGCCGGCGCCACGCCUGCCGAUUCGUCGCGGCAGAUUCGCCCAGCGCGUGCGGGCCGCGCUGCCUGCAACGGCCGCGCCCGCGGGACCGAUAAAGGAACUCAAGAAUCGUUGGGACGCUGGGACCGAACCGCCGACCUUCCGGGCGGCCGGAAGCAAAGCUCCAAACCUGGAACCCGGAGGCCUCGCGGGCCAAAAGCCAACAACGGGGCGGGACUGGAGGGCGGGCGAGAAGGGCGGGGCGGGGCGGGGCGGGGCGAGGAGCGCAGCCCGGGACCCGACUCGGGCCGUGGGAGGAGCCUAGGAGGAAAUGCGGGCUGAGGGAGGAGCCUGGGACAGGGGCGAGGCUUAAAGUGACGGGGCCCGGAGUAGGCCGGUGGGUGGAGCUGGGACGAGUAUGGGAGGAGCCUGUAGAUGGCGCCGAGGCCACGAAGCUUUCGGUAUGCGGAGCCGAAGGAGAGCCGAUUGUCUGAGAGAGGAAAUCUGGAAACAAAGUAGUGGGAUGGGUUUGUGGGCGGUAACUUGUGUGCGGCCAAGGCCCGGCCCGUGGAGCCUGCACUGAUUGGCACAAUAGGCUUUGGGAGCGUCCUGGGCUGGAUGUAGUGGGAGUAACUUGGGGAGUCAGCAAGCCCUAGAGGGCAGGAUCAAGGACUGCCGGCGGGGCAGCGUUUAAGAGGGACCUGGAAUGUUCUCCCAGACUCUGCUGCAGACACCUCAUCCCCCAUCCCUCAGUCCCAGGGUGAACAGUCUCUGGGACCACAGUUGGUCACCUCAACGCUGAGUUCUCAGCAGGACUUCCUAUUUCCUGGCAGUAACGGGUCUGGGUAGUAGGGUAGUGAGCUCUGGGUAAAGUAGAGCAUACACAGAACCCUCUGCAUCCGCAGGCGCUGCUCACAAUCUCAGCCAUACCUGUCAGUCCUUGGGAAGUUUAGCAAAUCUUGUGCACUACUACAGGUAAGAAACUCCAAAAUUAGACUGCAGGAUGCCACAGGAGCUCAAACUAAGAGGGAAGCAUUGUAAAUAUGCAGACUUCUGAUCAGCUUGCAAAACCAGCGUUAUCAACACAAUUUAGAAGAAGAACAAGAACAACAACUUGGAAAAAGCCGAUUGUGUUGGUGCACACCUUUAGUCCCAGCACUCCAGAGGUAGGGGCAGGUGAAUCUCUGUGAAUUAGAGGCCAGCCAGGACUCUGUUUUAUACAUAGAGUAACCCUGUCACAAACAAACAAACAGAACUUGGGAGGGAUCUCCUCAAAACAUAGCAAAGGAAGGGUUGGUGAGAUUGCUCGUCAAGUAAAUGCCAAGCAAAUCUGUCUGCCUUGCUUGAGUUCAAUCCCAAGAACUCUGGUAAAGGCGGACUGAGAGAAUUUACUCCACAAAAUUCUCUUUUGACCUCCACACAUGUACCCUCUCACCAUCAUGUGCACAAUACAUAUUAAAGUCAAAUGGCAAAUG
rnacentral:lncRNA from 1 species